ACUGAAUAGAUACCCAGGUAGUUCUUGCCUUAAACGAUGUAUACUUGAUGUAACUGGAAUCAAACCCCAGUUGUGUCGAAAGCUAACGCGAUAAGUAUACCGCCUGGGGAGUACGCUCGCAAGGGUGAAACUCAAAAGAAUCGACGGGGACCCGCACAAGCAGUGGAGCAUGUGGUUUAAUUCGAUGCAACGCGAAGAACCUUACCCAGGCUUGACAUAUAGUAGACAGUAUCAGAGAUGAUAUCUUCCUUCGGGACUACUAUACAGGUGCUGCAUGGCUGUCGUCAGCUCGUGCCGUGAGGUGUUGGGUUAAGUCCCGCAACGAGCGCAACCCUUAUCAUUAGUUGCCAACACGUAAAGGUGGGAACUCUAAUGAGACUGCCCGGGUUAAACCGGGAGGAAGGUGAGGAUGACGUCAAGUCCGCAUGGCCCUUAUGCCUGGGGCUACACACGUGCUACAAUGGUCGGUACAGAAGGUAGCGAGACCGAGAGGUGGAGCAAAUCCGAAAAGCCGAUCCCAGUUCAGAUUGUA
rnacentral:rRNA from 1 species